CCCUUAGAUGUUCUGGGCCGCACGCGCGCUACAAUGAUGAAUUCAACGAGUUUAUAACCUUGGUUGAAAAGCCUGGGUAAUCUUUUGAACUUUCGUCGUGAUGGGGCUAGACCCUUGCAAUUAUUGGUCUCCAACGAGGAAUUCCUAGUAAACGCAAGUCAUCAGCUUGCAUUGAUUACGUCCCUGCCCUUUGUACACACCGCCCGUCGCACCUACCGAUUGAAUGGUCCGGUGAAAUCUUCGGAUUGAGACUUUGAUUUCUUCACGGAAAACGCUGUGUUAAGAAGUUGAUUAAACCUUACCAUUUAGAGGAAGGUGAAGUCGUAACA
rnacentral:rRNA from 1 species